rnacentral:lncRNA from 1 species
UUAACUGAAACUACUACGCUCAAAAACUUAAAAAACACAAGAACUAGCAAUCUCAGAAAACAACCAAGAACGAUAACAUAGAAUGUACCUCUAACUGGUGCCCCACUCUUAUUCUCUUACUACCGAUGAUCAUGACAACAUGUUAUCUAUACUAUCCGUUUCUCACCUCUGUCCCAUCUGACAUAUUAAUAAUUACUAACUAUCUUUUCAACCG